GGGUCAUCACGGCUCUCCAGGGAUUUGGCCAGAACAAAGUACAGUGGUACCUCAGGUUACAGACACAAUCCGUUCUGGGGUGCUGCUCGCACUCCGAGAAGUCCGUUCAACAGAAGCAGGUUGGAGAACAUUAUGGAGGUUUCCAGUUCCAUUGGGGCUGCCGGUUUGUUGCUAGGAUAUAAAUGCCGACUUUUCAGCUGCUGUAAUUGCAAUGGAAAUUUUUGCUUUUUGCAGUGAAGGGGAUGGUGUCAUGAACAUUCCCAUGGCUUUAAUCGCUGGUGGGGGGGGGGUGACCUGUUGCUGACUACAGACAUAUCACAGGCCCUACAUUGCACGGGAUGUUAGAGGAAGGAUAGCAUCUCUGGUGGGACAACACAUAUUGCAUCUUCUUAAGAACCAUCAAUAAGUGCCAGAACUAAGACGCAUAUCCCCCAAAAUCCGAGGGAUUUAAAUUGCGGUUGACAUAGAGGGAGCUUAUUGUAUAUAGUGUUUACUUAAUUGAAGUAAAAUUGGUGUUAUAUGGGUGUUUUAACUUGGAACUGUUUAAAUUGUUUGUUUAUGGAUAAAUUUUGAUGUAUUGUUUUAGAUAUGGGCCAAUGGCCGUAAUAAAUCAAAUCAAU